AAAUUGAAGAGUUUGAUCAUGGCUCAGAUUGAACGCUGGCGGCAGGCCUAACACAUGCAAGUCGAACGGUAACAGGAAGCAGCUUGCUGCUUUGCUGACGAGUGGCGGACGGGUGAGUAAUGUCUGGGAAACUGCCUGAUGGAGGGGGAUAACUACUGGAAACGGUGGCUAAUACCGCAUAACGUCGCAAGACCAAAGAGGGGGACCUUCGGGCCUCUUGCCAUCAGAUGUGCCCAGAUGGGAUUAGCUUGUUGGUGAGGUAACGGCUCACCAAGGCGACGAUCCCUAGCUGGUCUGAGAGGAUGACCAGCCACACUGGAACUGAGACACGGUCCAGACUCCUACGGGAGGCAGCAGUGGGGAAUAUUGCACAAUGGGCGCAAGCCUGAUGCAGCCAUGCCGCGUGUAUGAAGAAGGCCUUCGGGUUGUAAAGUACUUUCAGCGGGGAGGAAGGUGUUGUGGUUAAUAACCGCAGCAAUUGACGUUACCCGCAGAAGAAGCACCGGCUAACUCCGUGCCAGCAGCCGCGGUAAUACGGAGGGUGCAAGCGUUAAUCGGAAUUACUGGGCGUAAAGCGCACGCAGGCGGUCUGUCAAGUCGGAUGUGAAAUCCCCGGGCUCAACCUGGGAACUGCAUUCGAAACUGGCAGGCUUGAGUCUUGUAGAGGGGGGUAGAAUUCCAGGUGUAGCGGUGAAAUGCGUAGAGAUCUGGAGGAAUACCGGUGGCGAAGGCGGCCCCCUGGACAAAGACUGACGCUCAGGUGCGAAAGCGUGGGGAGCAAACAGGAUUAGAUACCCUGGUAGUCCACGCCGUAAACGAUGUCUACUUGGAGGUUGUGCCCUUGAGGCGUGGCUUCCGGAGCUAACGCGUUAAGUAGACCGCCUGGGGAGUACGGCCGCAAGGUUAAAACUCAAAUGAAUUGACGGGGGCCCGCACAAGCGGUGGAGCAUGUGGUUUAAUUCGAUGCAACGCGAAGAACCUUACCUGGUCUUGACAUCCACGGAAGUUUUCAGAGAUGAGAAUGUGCCUUCGGGAACCGUGAGACAGGUGCUGCAUGGCUGUCGUCAGCUCGUGUUGUGAAAUGUUGGGUUAAGUCCCGCAACGAGCGCAACCCUUAUCCUUUGUUGCCAGCGGUCCGGCCGGGAACUCAAAGGAGACUGCCAGUGAUAAACUGGAGGAAGGUGGGGAUGACGUCAAGUCAUCAUGGCCCUUACGACCAGGGCUACACACGUGCUACAAUGGCGCAUACAAAGAGAAGCGACCUCGCGAGAGCAAGCGGACCUCAUAAAGUGCGUCGUAGUCCGGAUUGGAGUCUGCAACUCGACUCCAUGAAGUCGGAAUCGCUAGUAAUCGUGGAUCAGAAUGCCACGGUGAAUACGUUCCCGGGCCUUGUACACACCGCCCGUCACACCAUGGGAGUGGGUUGCAAAAGAAGUAGGUAGCUUAACCUUCGGGAGGGCGCUUACCACUUUGUGAUUCAUGACUGGGGUGAAGUCGUAACAAGGUAACCGUAGGGGAACCUGCGGUUGGAUCACCUCCUUACCUGAAAGAA
rnacentral:rRNA from 2 species